AAAACUAACCACUGUAUAUUGAUAUUAUUAAAUGUAUCAGAAGAUUGUGUUUAGAAACAAGAAAUUCAGAGGACUGUAUAACAGCAUCAGUAUGACAGAGACCUCUUGUAUGUCUUUGAACCUGUUGGUCAUUGACUGCUUAGUGCCACCCAUUCCCGAUGCUGAAGGUCUGAUGUCACCUUCAGGUGACUUAUGCAAUCAGCAGUGCAGACUGAGGAAAUGGGAGGCUGAAUUUGGAAGUGAAGUUGAUAGAAACUUACACUGUGCUGAUAAAGGAAAGUAAGAUGUGAAAAUGGACAAGGAUUUUGCAAAAGGCCUCAAGGUGUAUCUGUGCUGGAUACGGAACUGAGUUAYUUCUAGCAGAUGUAUUCUCCUGGGUGUAUAGUUGCAGCACUCCUGUCUGACAGUACAUGCAAAAAGGAAAAAAUUCAUUUGACAUCAAUAUUUUCAGUAAAAGGUUGACAGGAAUGAUCCUCACCAUUUUGGAAGCAUAAUCUUCCUCGGUGACUCUGCAGAGAGUGGAUUUGAUCUUUGCUGUUGGACUGAAUGACCGCUUAAGCACGGUGCUGGGCAGAGUCACUCACUGCUGAAYGUUUCUGCAGAGGCACAACUUUCAAGCUUGCUGGCAAAAAGCGAAGUGGCUCACAGACAGCAGCCUUGGUCACAGAGCAGACAUAUAGAGCUACAAUGCAGUGAAUACUGUAUCAAUUAUUUUGUAUCAAUCUUUCUUUUAUCAAAGGAAGCAAAAAUUGGUAAAAUGAAAGGAGUACUAUUCUUGACUACAUAUAUAGCUACAAGAAUAAGACAUAUAAGACAUUCAGAAAAGAGAAAACAGCUUAGAGGCUGUUGUCUGCCAAAGUUCUGCAGUAAUAUUGUAACGUAACUUACUUAGURCUUGUGGAUUACUUUGCAAAUGAAACAACUGCAAUGAAUAUUUUGGUAUAAGGCUGUGAUAUGAACUUGACACAGGACUGAAUAAGUAAUUUAYGGACCACAAAUACAAUAUGUCCUGUAGUAGAAGUCAGCUAUUUUAUGCAUACUAAAUAAUACUAACCAAUCCUAAAACAUGAGGAAACAUCCAAUUCAGGUGAUUUACCCCAUCAGAUGUUGUCAUCUGUUAGGUCAGAUCCUUUUGAUAAUGUUACAACAACACAUUUAUUUUUACUCMGCUCUGUUCAAAUAUCAUUCACUAGCUCUUCAAGUGCUUUGGUCCAAAGCCUGAAUGAACAGGUGUGAGAACAUUAUCUGACCAAAUAUGAACUCAUGUAUUUCAUAUAUUGUACAUGCUCACACUUUUAUUUAUAAAAUGAGUUCACUGUCCCUGGCAUCUUACUUGCACUGUUUCUGUCUUGUCUGUGGGAAUCUAAAAUGAAAGAAAGCAGUACCAGUAUACUCUAAGCUUUCACGAUGACAAGCAAGUAAAAAUUAAGUGAAAG